GUCUACAGCCAUGCCACCCUGAAUGUGCCCGAUCUCGUCUGAUCUCGGAAGCUAAGCAGUGUCGAGCCUGGUUAGUACUCAGAUGGGAGACCACCUAGGAAGACCAGGUGCUGUAGGCG
rnacentral:rRNA from 1 species